CGCUGAGUUUGAUCCUGGCUCAGGAUGAACGCUAGCGGCGGGCUUAACACAUGCAAGUCGAGGGGUAUAGUUCUUCGGAGCUAGAGACCGCCGCACGGGUGCGUAACGCGUAUGCAAUCUACCUUUUACAGAGGGAUAGCCCAGAGAAAUUUGGAUUAAUACCUCAUAGUAUGUGAGAAUCGCAUGGUUUUCACAUUAAAGUUCCAACGGUAAAAGAUGAGCAUGCGUCCCAUUAGCUAGAUGGUAAGGUAACGGCUUACCAUGGCAACGAUGGGUAGGGGUCCUGAGAGGGAGAUCCCCCACACUGGUACUGAGACACGGACCAGACUCCUACGGGGAGCAGCAGUGAGGAAUAUUGGACAAUGGGGCGCAAGCCUGAUCCCAGCCAUGCCGCGUGCAGGAUGACGGUCCUAUGGAUUGUAAACUGCUUUUGAC
rnacentral:rRNA from 1 species